rnacentral:rRNA from 1 species
AACGAACGCUGGCGGCAUGCCUAACACAUGCAAGUCGAACGAGACCUUCGGGUCUAGUGGCGCACGGGUGCGUAACGCGUGGGAACCUGCCCUUAGGUUCGGAAUAACUCCCCGAAAGGGGUGCUAAUACCGGAUAAUGUCUUCGGACCAAAGAUUUAUCGCCUUUGGAUGGGCCCGCGUUGGAUUAGCUAGUUGGUAGGGUAAAAGCCUACCAAGGCGACGAUCCAUAGCUGGUCUGAGAGGAUGAUCAGCCACACUGGGACUGAGACACGGCCCAGACUCCUACGGCAGGCAGCAGUGGGGAAUAUUGGACAAUGGGCGAAAGCCUGAUCCAGCAAUGCCGCGUGAGUGAUGAAGGCCUUAGGGUUGUAAAGCUCUUUUACCCGGGAUGAUAAUGACAGUACCGGGAGAAUAAGCGCCGGCUAACUCCGUG